rnacentral:rRNA from 1 species
AUUGCAGGGUCUAGAUCGAGUGUUCAUGGAGAAAACCAUGGGGAAGAAGAUGCCCCGGUCGCACGUGUCAAGCUGCAGCGACUCGAGAACAACUUACCCCAAGCCAUGGAAAGGAUGCUUCACGAGCGUCCUCUAGUAGGUGGUGAUAGGGUUCGACACCGACAACACCCUAUUGAUCCACUUGAGGAAGUUGGCGAUGAGAAUUCUGUGCAUACUGCUGUUGACGGUGACUUGGAGGAUGAUAACAACAGCCAUGGUGGACAUGUGGUUGCUGCUCGUGGGCGUGGUGCUGCUGCUCAUGGAGGGAAGCGAUGA